GUGCUUGACAUGACGAAACAUUUCGGAUGUAAAAUUUUCUUUACAGAAUUGCGCAAACAAACCCCGUGUUGAUAUCUUCCGUUGCCUUCCUUCUGAUUCAAGCA
rnacentral:snoRNA from 1 species